rnacentral:rRNA from 1 species
UACGUAGGGUGCAAGCGUUAAUCGGAAUUACUGGGCGUAAAGCGGGCGCAGGCGGGUGUGCAAGGCAGAUGUGAAAUCCCCGGGCUUAACCUGGGAACUGCAUUUGUGACUGCACAGCUAGAGUGUGUCAGAGGGGGGUAGAAUUCCACGUGUAGCAGUGAAAUGCGUAGAUAUGUGGAGGAAUACCGAUGGCGAAGGCAGCCCCCUGGGAUAACACUGACGCUCAUGCACGAAAGCGUGGGGAGCAAACAGG